rfam:Capsella rubella cultivar Monte Gargano unplaced genomic scaffold scaffold_1, whole genome shotgun sequence.
AAGCAGUGGUGAGGACAUUGGGACUAAUAGAUUUUGAAUCGCUCCCAUGCCUCAUAGAAGGUUUCGUUGUUUCGCUGAGCAAAGCUAGAGAUGUCGUUCCUCAAUCGU